rnacentral:misc_RNA from 1 species
UUUCCGUAGGUGAACCUGCGGAAGGAUCAUUAUUGUAUAACCGAGGUGCGAGGGCUGUCGCUGACCCGAAAGGUCGUGCACGCCCGAGUGCCCUCACACACAUCCAUCUCACCCCUAUGUGCACCACCGCGUGGGUCCCCCUUGGGCUUGUUCGGAGGGGGGCUUACGUUGUCACACAAACUUUGUAUGCAGUGUAGAAUGUAUUUUUUGUUUUUGCGAUCACGCAAUCAAUACAACUUUCAACAACGGAUCUCUUGGCUCUC